rfam:Ictidomys tridecemlineatus contig094679, whole genome shotgun sequence.
GUGGUUGUGGCUCAGCGGUAGAGCAUUUACCUCUCACAUGUGAGACCCUGGGUUUGAUCCUCAGCACCACA